UCUACUAUCUUCGAACUACAAGACAAAAUCUAACCCAUUAUGAUUACAAUUCAUUACUGAGAUACAAACAUGAGAACAAUAUGAAGUGAGUGUUGUGACUUCAAGAUGAAAAUAUGUCACACUUGCUUGCUGUCUAUAUGCUGGAAGAUAUAGAACUGUCAUGGACAAGAAAGAAGAAGAUGUUUCAUCAUCUACAUUGAGCUCUGAGGACUUAAAGAUCUAUGGUGUAAACAAACUUAGAGAGUUUCUGUUCACCAACUUCUUACAGCUUUCCCCUAAGUAGUGCUCUGGGUCCCAUUUUUUUUCAUAGUUAUUGAAGGAUUAUUAUAUAACAGAAAACUUUUUCCCCCAGAAAAUAUUGGCUUAUUUUUUUUGUGAUAUAUCAGAAAGGAAAGGGAAAACAAAUAUAACAUUUGAAAAAGGAAUGAUAAAAUGCUCACUGUGGGACAAAACUCUAUCCCCUGAAAAUACAUUUCUCUGGAAAAUAACUUCCUUGAAUUCUUAAAAGAGAGUGAAUUUUCACUUAGGGUACAGGAAAGAAGUGUUACUAAUAUGAAAAAUAGAAAUAAUUUCCAAAAAUGCUAAAUUUGCAGCUGAAGAAUGUGCACAUUCACUAAGGUGUGCCUGGGCAAAGGGAUGUUAAAUUUAUUCAAUUUUCAGGUCUAUGGCUGACACCAAUGUGUAUUUGUACAGAUGUACCUUUAUAUUUUUUACAAGGUAUAAAUAAAAUUAUUUUUUAUAUUGGUUUUAUAUUUUCAGGUAUUAAUAAACAAUGCAUACCUA